rnacentral:rRNA from 1 species
CAUUAAAGAAUACAUGGCCUUCGGGUCCUAUUCUCACCCUUUGUUUACCAAAACUCUUGUUGCCUUGGCGCAUUCGUGCGCCAAAGGAAUCAAACCCUUGAAUCUCUGCUGUCUGAGUACUAUAUAAUAGUUAAAACUUUCAACAACGGAUCUCUUGGUUCUGGCAUCGAUGAAGAACGCAGCGAAAUGCGAUAAGUAAUGUGAAUUGCAGAAUUCAGUGAAUCAUCGAAUCUUUGAACGCACAUUGCGCCUCCUGGUAUUCCGGGAGGCAUGCCUGUUCGAGCGUCAUUACAACCCUCAAGCUCUGCUUGGUAUUGGGCUCGCCUCCUCUGGCCUGCCUCAAAAUCAGUGGCGGCACAGUCCGAUCCUCAAGCGCAGUAAUACACGACGCUUGCCGGUGAAGGUUGCUGCUCCAGAAACCCCCCACAAACUAAAGGUUGACCUCGGAUCAGGUAGGGAUACCCGCUGAACUUAAGCAUAUCAAUAAGCGGAGGA